rnacentral:rRNA from 1 species
GACGUAGGGGGCAAGCGUUGUUCGGAAUUACUGGGCGUAAAGCGCACGUAGGCGGCUUUGUAAGUUAGAGGUGAAAGCCCGGGGCUCAACUCCGGAAUUGCCUUUAAGACUGCAUCGCUAGAAUUGUGGAGAGGUAAGUGGAAUUCCGAGUGUAGAGGUGAAAUUCGUAGAUAUUCGCAAGAACACCAGUGGCGAAGGCGGCUCACUGGCCCGAUACUGACGCUGAUGCACGAAAGCGUGGGGAGCAAACAGG